GCUAUCAAUGUAAUCAACGCAAGACCUGUCAGUUGGCAUAAAAAAAUCCCGAACCCGGAAUAUCAAGAAAGCACUUGCUGAGAGUUCGACUGAACCUAACUUGUAAGUUCGAGGAGAUAUAAAAACGGUUAUAAACGACAAUGAACAGCAAGAAUAUAAGGACUGACUUGAUAAGUUACAAUUAAAGAGAUAGGCAAAGGGCAAAGGCGAAUUCAAAUGCUUUGGGAGUAUCUUUUAGUCUGUCAUGCACCUUCACCUGAAAAUUCGUGAGACUGUUGCAGUCAAGAGGGAAACAAAAAAAAACCGCGCACACAUGUCUCCGGACAUGGGGAGGGACAACGGGACAAGGACAACAAUGCAGUUGCACAGUAGGGCUCCAUAUGCUCUCUUUGAUUAUCGGCUGAAAUCUGAACGAGGCUGAAUUAAGGGACAGCUGCGGAAUCAGAUCCGGAAAUACGGCACAUAUCAAGUUCAGCGGAAAUGUUUUUUAUUUACGGCGCCCAUAAAUUUUUGGGCAAAGCCCAACGUUUCCAGAACCAAAACUUUUUCUUUUAAUUAAAUUUAUUUUAUAUUAAUUGUUCAAUUAAAAGUCAUUUGUUUUAGCUUAAA